rnacentral:lncRNA from 1 species
CAGAGGUGUCAAGCUGCCAGUGUUGAUUCAAAUGAAAAUGAUAAUGUUGAAGAAGGAGGCUGCAAAAGUUCCUAAGCAACCUGACGGGAUAUACCUUGUAAAAUGCUUUCAAAAAAGCUUCAAAGGGCAGCUAAUAAAUGAAUAUACUGACAGGGUUUAAUCGCUUCUCCUCUCUCCUAGUAACAGGAAUUAAAGGCCACAGGUGGUUCUGGGUUGGAGGCAGGACCCAAAAGUAAAUGCAGCAUUCAGAGCUGCACAGGCCCAGUCAGAGCAGCUGCCACUUCAGGCACUUACAGUGGUCACCCAGGAUUCAGGAGAUGCAUAUUAUAAGUAACUCAGUUCUGUAAGAGCUAGGAGUUAGUUCACACUGCUUGGGCUCUCACUAAGUAAGCCUGUGCAAUGCAGGCAGGAAGGGAGAAAAUGCUUACAAAAAAGAAAUGAGUAGAUUCUUGCCUUAGGAAAGUCAACGGGAUACAAUUCCUGAUGGAAGAGCAGUUGCUAUUCUAAGAGCUAAUUAACAAGAAACAAUGCUGCAAAAAACUUGGGAGACAGGACGGCAGAACACACCCAGAUGGCCUGUGGGAAAUUCCCAGGCCUGCCAAUGAUGUGAGAGAGGACAUCUUGUGAAUGGGUGGGUACAGCCUGUUCUUCUGGGCAAGACAAACAGUGCAGGACUCUAUAUGCCAGGGUGGCUGAAGCCCCAGUGUCCAAGAGGCUUGCCCAUUCCUCCCUGCCCCUGGCACUGAACCCAAGCUUCCAUGGGGCACUGUGGAAGAGGCCUUGCCUGACGACAAGUAGACCAAACACGACCGUCCGUCCUCUAAAAACUGCACCCUUGGAAUUGGGGACAGGCAGAAUAACCCUUUCACUAGCUUGAUACUUAGCCUCUUGGGGUUCUGAUAAAUCCUUUUGAAUAACCAAGCAGUUUUGUUUUUAAUACCUUGGCCUGAGCCCUUUAGAUGCAGCCAUCCUCAACUUACAAAAAAAACAAACCAAAAGAAAAAACAAAACACACACACACACAAACAAACUUUGAUUCAAUUGACAAAGGUUUUCAAGGUGUCUACUACAUGUAAGGCAGCACACUAGGGGUUUCUUGGGGAUACGCAGAUGACAAAGACAGUGUCUCUUCAUCCAGGAGCUAAUCAAGAGAAGGGGGAAGAAUCAAGCAAACUUCAUAAUACACAGCCGGAUGAAAUGAAAAGAGACUUAGAUCAAGUGCUGUGAGAGCUUGGAAGAGGCACGGGGCAAAUAACACUGGGGCUGGUGGUGGGAAGGCAAGUGACAGCCUCGUGGAAGAGGUGGCAUUUGACCAGAGAUGAGGACGAACAGAAUUAACAUAGUAGGCAUGAAGGAAGAAAAUGCGCCUGAGGACACAGCCAGCACAAAUGCAGAGGCAUACAAGUGCCUGGUACAGCUGGCAUGCAGGGAUGGCUGAGGAACUGCGGGGGCAGCCGGUGGGAUCCAUCCGAGGCAGGGGCACAGAUAGAAAGCUGCUGAGAGACUACACUCUGAGGUCAGCCUUGACCCUGAGGCUCAUCUGGCUCUCCCUGUUCCUCUACAGCCAGGUAAAGGUUAGAGGCAAGUCUCGGAGAUGGAAACCCAAGGUCAUGCAGUUGUGCCAAUGCCCGUUGUUAGACAACAUGCUUCUAUUCCUGACAAACCAGUCUCAAGCAGCUCUGACUGAUGGGGCGGAUUUCAAUGCUCUCCAAUGACUUCCAAGUGUUAAGAAAAAGCUGCUGCUACCCUACAUGCCCAAGCUAUACGAACUACUUUUUUCCAGGUAUGAUUCCCCAAAUGUAGCUACUGAAGAGAAGUGAGUGCUGAACAAAGAUUCUCUAGUGGGGACUA